UGAGGUGUAGCUCAGUGGUAAAGUGCUUGCCUUGUACGUGUGAGGCAAUGGGUUCAAUUCUCAGCACCACAU
rnacentral:tRNA from 1 species